ACGUAGGAUGCAAGCGUUGUCCGGAAUUAUUGGGCGUAAAGAGCUAGCAGGCGGUUUGGAAAGUUGGACGUGAAAUUUUAGGGCUUAACCCUAAAGGGUCGUCCAAAACUCCCAGACUAGAGUGCAGGAGAGGAAAGCGGAAUUCCCGGUGUAGUGGUGAAAUGCGUAGAUAUCGGGAGGAACACCAGAGGCGAAGGCGGCUUUCUGGCCUGUAACUGACGCUGAGGCGCGAAGGCUGGGGUAGCGAACAGGA
rnacentral:rRNA from 1 species